rnacentral:rRNA from 1 species
GAUGAACGCUGGCGGCGUGCCUAAUACAUGCAAGUCGAGCGAACGGACGAGAAGCUUGCUUUUCUGAUGUUAGCGGCGGACGGGUGAGUAACACGUGGAUAACCUACCUAUAAGACUGGGAUAACUUCGGGAAACCGGAGCUAAUACCGGAUAAUAUUUUGAACCGCAUGGUUCAAAAGUGAAAGACGGUCUUGCUGUCACUUAUAGAUGGAUCCGCGCUGCAUUAGCUAGUUGGUAAGGUAACGGCUUACCAAGGCAACGAUGCAUAGCCGACCUGAGAGGGUGAUCAGCCACACUGGAACUGAGACACGGUCCAGACUCCUACGGGAGGCAGCAGUAGGGAAUCUUCCGCAAUGGGCGAAAGCCUGACGGAGCAACGCCGCGUGAGUGAUGAAGGUCUUCGGAUCGUAAAACUCUGUUAUUAGGGAAGAACAUAUGUGUAAGUAACUGUGCACAUCUUGACGGUACCUAAUCAGAAAGCCACGGCUAACUACGUGCCAGCAGCCGCGGUAAUACGUAGGUGGCAAGCGUUAUCCGGAAUUAUUGGGCGUAAAGCGCGCGUAGGCGGUUUUUUAAGUCUGAUGUGAAAGCCCACGGCUCAACCGUGGAGGGUCAUUGGAAACUGGAAAACUUGAGUGCAGAAGAGGAAAGUGGAAUUCCAUGUGUAGCGGUGAAAUGCGCAGAGAUAUGGAGGAACACCAGUGGCGAAGGCGACUUUCUGGUCUGUAACUGACGCUGAUGUGCGAAAGCGUGGGGAUCAAACAGGAUUAGAUACCCUGGUAGUCCACGCCGUAAACGAUGAGUGCUAAGUGUUAGGGGGUUUCCGCCCCUUAGUGCUGCAGCUAACGCAUUAAGCACUCCGCCUGGGGAGUACGACCGCAAGGUUGAAACUCAAAGGAAUUGACGGGGACCCGCACAAGCGGUGGAGCAUGUGGUUUAAUUCGAAGCAACGCGAAGAACCUUACCAAAUCUUGACAUCCUUUGACAACUCUAGAGAUAGAGCCUUCCCCUUCGGGGGACAAAGUGACAGGUGGUGCAUGGUUGUCGUCAGCUCGUGUCGUGAGAUGUUGGGUUAAGUCCCGCAACGAGCGCAACCCUUAAGCUUAGUUGCCAUCAUUAAGUUGGGCACUCUAAGUUGACUGCCGGUGACAAACCGGAGGAAGGUGGGGAUGACGUCAAAUCAUCAUGCCCCUUAUGAUUUGGGCUACACACGUGCUACAAUGGACAAUACAAAGGGCAGCGAAACCGCGAGGUCAAGCAAAUCCCAUAAAGUUGUUCUCAGUUCGGAUUGUAGUCUGCAACUCGACUACAUGAAGCUGGAAUCGCUAGUAAUCGUAGAUCAGCAUGCUACGGUGAAUACGUUCCCGGGUCU